rnacentral:rRNA from 1 species
GCCAAAAACCUAGCCCCAAACUGCCUCCGGCCUCAACAAAUUACAACUAUGAACUAAAACAUUCAUUAAAUCUAGUAAAGGCGAUUGAAAAAUAAAUUGGCGCGAUAUAUCGAGUACCGCAAGGGAAAGGUGAAAUAUAAAUGAAAAUCUUCAAGCACAACAAAGCAGAGACUAUUCCUCGUACCUUUUGCAUCAUGGUUUAACUAGUCUACCCAAGCAAAAAGACUUAAAGUUUGACUUCCCGAAACUAAGCGAGCUACUUCAAGGCAGCCUAACGGGCGACCCCGUCUCUGUUGCAAAAGAGUGGAAAGACCUUCAAGUAGAAGCGACAUACCUAUCGAGCUUAGUGAUAGCUGGUUACUCAAGAAACGGACUUCAGUCCAACCUAAAGUUAAUUAAAUUACACAAAAUUCUACUAUGACUUUAGAGCAAUUCAAUUAAGGUACAGCCUAAUUGAAACAGGAUACAACCUCAACUAACGGGUUCUACGCCCAGUAAAACCAAAUCAAGUGGGCCUAAGAGCAGCCACCUUUCAAAAAGCGUCAAAGCUUAACCAUUUUCUACUUUAAUACCUAAUUACACACCCAACCCUUUUUCAGUAAUGAGUAAUUCUAUACUAUUAUAGAACUUUUUAUGUUAAAACUAGUAACAAGAAGAUGAACCUUCUCUUAAAUGCAAGCGUAAGCCAGAAAGGACACACCACCUGGUGAUUAACACCCAUGAGCUGUUAAUAGCAACACUAUAAAAAACCCCUAUUUAUCCACAUGUUAACCUAACACAAGAGCAUUAAAAGAAAGAUUAAAAGGAAAAGAAGGAACUCGGCAAAUUUCAACCCCGCCUGUUUACCAAAAACAUCGCCUCUUGAAUAAGUAUAAGAGGUCCAGCCUGCCCAGUGACUCUGUUCAACGGCCGCGGUAUUCUAACCGUGCAAAGGUAGCGUAAUCACUUGUCCUUUAAAUGGGGACUGGUAUGAACGGCACCACGAGGGUUGCACUGUCUCCUUUUCCCAAUCAGUGAAACUGAUCUCCCCGUGAAGAAGCGGGGAUAUCAAUAUAAGACGAAAAGACCCUAUGGAGCUUUAAACAAAAUGACAAUCGCCAUCUUUAUCUAACUUCCAGAAUACCUGCCUCUAUUCUAGCGACAUGAUCAUUAGUUUUAGGUUGGGGUGACCACGGAGUAUAAACCAACCUCCGUAUUGAGGGCUUUCCCCCAAGCAAAAAGCCACAACUUUAUGCAUCAAUAAAUUGACAUCAAUUGACCCAAUAUUUUGACCAAUGAACCAAGUUACCCUAGGGAUAACAGCGCAAUCCAUUUCGAAAGCCCCUAUCGACAAAUGGGUUUACGACCUCGAUGUUGGAUCAGGGUAUCCUAGUGGUGCAGUCGCUACUAAAGGUUCGUUUGUUCAACGACUAAGACCCUACGUGA